CACCGCGGUUAUACGAGGGGCUCGAGUUGACAGACUAACGGCGUAAAGAGUGGUUAAGGAAAAUAUUCAACUAAAGCGGAACGCCCUCACAGCUGUUAUACGUUUCCGAGGGUAUGAACCCCAACUACGAAAGUGGCUUUACACUACCUGAACCCACGAAAGCUAAGAAA
rnacentral:rRNA from 1 species